UAGCUCAGUUGGUAAAAGAAUCUGCUUGCAAUGCAGGAGACCCUGGUUCAAUUCCUGG
rnacentral:tRNA from 1 species